CCUACGGGAGGCAGCAGUGCGGAAUUUUAGAUAAUGGAGGGAACUGUGAUCUAGCGACCCCCCGUGCAGGAAGAAGGUCUUCGGAUUGUAAACUGCUGUGGUAAGGGAAAAAUGCUAUGUAGAGGGAAAGCUACAUAGAGGGCUGUACCUACGGAAGGCCCCC
rnacentral:rRNA from 1 species